AAAAAAUCGUUUACGUUGCGCUAUUUCAAGCCUUCAAAUUUCUCAUCAUCAUCAUCAAUCCUACAACCUUCCGAAAUUCCUCAAUUUCACAUGAACCCCAAGUGGGUUCUCCCAAUUACCAAGCAAUGGCGGCGGCGGCAAGAACUAACGCCUGCAUGAAAAAACUCUCACUGCUAUCCAAUUCGGUCAACAAGAAAGCAGGAUCAGCAUUCGGGUCGGGUUUUCGAAGGUGGGUUUCCGUUGAAAAAAAUGAUGAAGAAUUGAGUAAAGGGAACAAGGGUUUUGCCGCUGUGUGGGGGAACGGCGAUUUCGGGAGGCUGGGUUUGGGCAAUUUGGAGUCCCGGUGGAGGCCUCACCCUAUUCCGCCGUCGGCUUUUGCUGAUCGGAGUUUGAAGGAGUUAGCUUGUGGCGGCGCUCAUACCCUUUUUCUCACCGAUAGUGGUGAUGUGUAUGCUACCGGACUCAACGACUGUGGACAGCUCGGAAUAUCAGACUCUCGAGAUUAUACAACUGAACCUGUCAGGGUUUCUAUUCCUAAACGGAUUAUUAAAAUUUCAGCUGGUUAUCAUCAUUCAGCUGCUAUUACAGUAGAUGGAGAACUCUACGUAUGGGGAAAGAAUGCAAAUGGACAGCUUGGCCUUGGAAAAAAGGCGGAAAAGAUGGUUCCUCGUCCUCGUAAAGUUGAAUGCUUGGAUGGAGUCGUCAUCAAAACGGCAUCUUUAGCAUCUGAACAUUCGAUUGCUGUUACAGAUAAAGGCGAAGCUUUGAGUUGGGGAGGAGGAGAAUCCGGAAGACUCGGUCACGGACACGGAUCGAGCAUUUUGGGUUUUCAAAAAAGUAGUAGUGAGUAUACGCCACGACUAAUUAAGGAACUCGAGGGAAUCAAGGUCCAAAGUGUUUCCGCGGGAAUGCUGCACACUGUCUGCAUUAGUGAAGAUGGCUCCGUGUAUUUCUUCGGUGAAAAAGAAUUUGGAAAAUGGGGUUUUGGCAAAGCAAAGAGUGCGACAACACCAUCCACCGUUAGCUCAUUGCCGUUUUCCGAAGAAGUUGCAUGCGGUGGUUACCACACCUGCGUUAUUACAAAUGGUGGAGAACUGUACACAUGGGGGUCGAACGAGAACGGCUGUCUUGGCAUCGGCUGCACAGAUAUUGUUUAUUCACCCGAACGAGUCCAAGGUCCGUUUUUGAGGCAACCCGUUACCAAGGUAUCGUGCGGUUGGAAACAUACAGCAGCAAUUUCUGGAGGCAAUAUUUAUACAUGGGGAUGGGGUGGUUCAAAUGGAACGUUCCAAGAAGAUGGUCAUUCACCGGGCGGACAAUUGGGUCAAGGCGACGACGUUGACUAUAUUGAACCAACGUUGCUCGACUUGGACAAGAGUGUCGAAGCAUUGCAAGUUUCUUGUGGAUUUAAUCAUACAGCUGCUAUAUUCCAAUGUACAUGAAAAAAAUAUGCAAAUAAAAGUUACAUAUAUCCUACUAAAGAAAAUUCCGGGAUGGAUUGGAGCAGAAUACAGAGGUUAGUAACAGUAGCGAAAUAUUAAUCUAUCGAAAUAUUUUUGAACUCGGGACCGCGAAAAUGUAUAAUUUUACUGAGGUUAUUAAUUUAUCGAGAUUUUACUGUAAUUUGAUCUAUAAAUAUACUUCAAAUGGAAUAAUUGAUAUUAUUACUUAGAAAU